CGCGGCCUAUCAGCUUGUUGGUGAGGUAACGGCUCACCAAGGCAUCGACGGGUAGCUGGUCUGAGAGGAUGAUCAGCCACACUGGGACUGAGACACGGCCCAGACUCCUACGGGAGGCAGCAGUAGGGAAUCUUGCGCAAUGGGCGAAAGCCUGACGCAGCAACGCCGCGUGGGGGAUGAAUGCCUUCGGGUUGUGAACCCCUUUCAGCAGGGACGAGAUUGACGGUACCUGCAGAAGAAGGUCCGGCCAACUACGUGCCAGCAGCCGCGGUAAUACGUAGGGACCGAGCGUUGUCCGGAAUUAUUGGGCGUAAAGAGCUCGUAGGCGGUUCAGUAAGUCGGGUGUGAAAACUCAAGGCUCAACCUUGAGACGCCACUCGAUACUGCUGUGACUUGAGUCCGGUAGAGGAGUGUGGAAUUCCUGGUGUAGCGGUGAAAUGCGCAGAUAUCAGGAGGAACACCAGCGGCGAAGGCGGCACUCUGGGCCGGUACUGACGCUGAGGAGCGAAAGCAUGGGGAGCAAACAGGAUUAGAUACCCUGGUAGUCCAUGCCGUAAACGUUGGGCACUAGGUAUGGGAUCAUAUCAACGGAUUCCGUGCCGUAGCUAACGCAUUAAGUGCCCCGCCUGGGGAGUACGG
rnacentral:rRNA from 1 species